rnacentral:rRNA from 1 species
GAUGAACGCUGGCGGCGUGCCUAAUACAUGCAAGUCGAGCGAAAGGACCAGAAGUUUGUUUUUUUGAUGUUUGCCGAGCACGGGUGUGUAACAUGUGGAUCAUCUACCUAUAAGACUGGUAUAAUUUCGGGAAACCGGCGCUUAUCCCGGAUAAUAUUUUGAACCGUAUUGUUCAUUAGUGAAAGUCGGCCUUGCUGUCACUUAUAGAUGGAUCUGCGCUGCAUUAGCUAGUUGGUAAGGUAACGGCUUACCAAGGCGAGGAUGCAUAGCCGACCGGAGAGGGGGAUAGGCCACACUGGAACGGAGACACGGUCCAUACGCCUGCGGGAGGCAGCAGAAGGGAACCUGAGGCAAUGGGGGAAAGCCUGACGGAGCAACGCGGCGUGAGUGAUGAAGGUCUUCGGAUCGUAAAACUCUGUUAUUAGGGAAGAACAUAUGUGGAAGUAACUGUGCACAUCUUGACGGUACCUAAUCAGAAAGCCACGGCUAACUACGUG